GCCUCGGUGGCUCAGUUGGGUAGAGGUUUGGCUAUGGCCCAGAAGGUCAAGAGUUCGAACCCUGCAGAGGCC